rnacentral:rRNA from 1 species
GACGAACGCUGGCGGCGUGCCUAAUACAUGCAAGUCGAACGAAGCUGUUUUAACUGGUGCUUGCACCGACUUAAACAACUGAGUGGCGAACGGGUGAGUAACACGUGGGUAACCUGCCCCAAAGCGGGGGAUAACAUUUGGAAACAGAUGCUAAUACCGCAUAACCACAGAAACCACAUGGUUUCUGUGUCAAAGAUGGUUUCGGCUAUCACUUCGGGAUGGACCCGCGGCGUAUUAGCUAGUUGGUAAGGUAAUGGCUUACCAAGGCAAUGAUACGUAGCCGAACUGAGAGGUUGAUCGGCCACAUUGGGACUGAGACACGGCCCAAACUCCUACGGGAGGCAGCAGUAGGGAAUCUUCCACAAAGGACGAAAGUCUGAUGGAGCAACGCCGCGUGAGUGAAGAAGGUUUUCGGAUCGUAAAACUCUGUUGUCAGAGAAGAACGUGUGCGAGAGUAACUGCUCGUGCAGUGACGGUAUCUGGCCAGAAAGCCACGGCUAACUACGUGCCAGCAGCCGCAGUAA